rnacentral:rRNA from 1 species
UACGUAGGUGGCAAGCGUUGUCCGGAUUUACUGGGCGUAAAGAGCGCGCAGGCGGUCGUUUAAGUCGAAUGUGAAAGCCCCCGGCUCAACUGGGGAGGGUCAUUCGAUACUGAUCGACUUGAAGGCAGGAGAGGGAAGUGGAAUUCCGGGUGUAGUGGUGAGAUGCGUAGAUAUCCGGAGGAACACCGGUGGCGAAGGCGGCUUCCUGGACCGACACUGACGCUGAGGCGCGAAAGCUAGGGGAGCAAACGGG